CGGGAUCAGAGCUCCGGAAUCUCACAUUCAAUGCUUGAAAUACACCUGAAGUGAAGCUAAGUGUGCACUCACUCUCAUCCUUUGCAGUGCUACUGAAUUGAAUCUAGUUACCUUUUCCAAAUUUAACGUUUUACUGAUUCGGCUUGUGUUAUUUGUUGUCUAGCUUGGAUUUAAAACCCAUUCACCAGUUUAACCACCGUCUUUUUAAUUUGUUUAUCGAAACUUUAUUUUUGCAACGUUAUAUUAAAAAUUAUGACACAGUUAACAUCAAUCUCGUAAGACAAACUUCAGAGAAAACAUGCAGCAGCAGCCGUGUUGACAAAUUAUUCUUUGCAACCAAUCAAGACGCGCCCGGUUGAUUUUGCAUGACAUCAAACUUUACAAUCAAGCCGUACAGGUUAUGUCUAUAAGAAUAGACACUCUGGAAACAAAUUCUGUGGCUGUGGCCGUUCAGGAAAUUCUAGCUUGUGCAGAAACAUUCGGAGAAUGUUGUUCUGGUGUUAUGAACUGUGCCAUUCUUCACUGUACAUAAAUAGGUUACGAACUCUUACACUGCAUCAGUAGCAUAAACGUAUGGCUUGGAUGGAAUUCAUUAUGAAUCAAUGAUGGAGGCUUACAGCUUUUAUACUGGCAAUGUCAUAUAUAGAUAUGAGAACUGGAGAGCUGAAGAGAAACCAAAA